AGAUGGCGCUGAACGUAGCUACAUCGCGCUACCGUUUGUUCGUAUCAGAAAGUACAACACGUGGAGUCGUCGACCGUCAAGUAUCCUUGGUCACAAGUCCAUGGGAAGCCGUCGAAGUGAAACCUUGCGACGGAGGAAGCCGUCGUAAUGAAACCUUGCGACGGGAGUAUGUGGAAAACAUCGAAUAAAAUAACCAGUUGCUUCUUCUUCUUCCUUAACACCUUUUUUCUCUCUGGCAAAUCGUCCCAGAGAAUACACGGACAGAACUGCGCAGUCUACGACCAGGUAUGUGCGACUCGCUGGCUAAUCAGAAUACCCAGUAAAACCCAGCGACCUAUGUCAUAUUUGGACCUACAUCUACGGACCCUUGCUGAAUACCCCUCAGUAUUUAGCAAGGGUCCGAUUGAUUGUAACAGGCUAUAUAUAAGUGACAAAGAUAUUACACAGACGAUUGUUAACAAGGGCUUAUAAUUAUUACUUACUUAACGGGUCGCGGUAUCCAAACUUGUAGGUAGUAUUUGAUAAGAGCUCUUAGUUAACGGUGGUAGCUGUUUCAGAUCCACAUGUGUUUUCCAUAGGAAGGAGGAUAUGAUGUAUUGAAUAUCUCUGGAAAAUUUUCUACAAAAAGAAAUACACAAAAUGGGAAUUGAAGCAAUAAUCUCUUGAUUCAUGUUGAUUUUGUUAAAAAUAUAUUCUUUUUAACCAAUCUUUGAAUUUUACUUUUUAUAGCUUAGGAUUUAUCAUAAGCAGAAUGGGAAUUGAAAGAGAACAAUUAACGCGGUCCAAUAGUUAUAAAUAUGCAAACGAAUGGGAAUAGCAAUCUGUCCGUCCGUUGGCACGGCGGAGCGAUUGCAUAAUCAAAUAUAACCGUUGACCGGGUAACCCCACCUCAUUUGACCUCUUUAGCAAUUGUCAUGUGUAGGAAUUGAUUUCUGUGAUUUGCGGUCUACUGUCGGGU